UUUGGCUAAGUUAGCCUGUGUAAGUGGUGGUCCAGAUUUGUCCUUGGCAUAGAUAAAUCAAUCGCCAUGGUUGAUCCUCCGAAUCAGAAUCUCAUUAAUUCUAUUGAGUAAAUGAAUUUCAUUGAUUAUAUUAUCGCAUUCGGUUUCUUUUCUUCUCCCUGAUGUUUUCAUAACCAAGACUCAAAUACAAUCUCAGAGUAAGAAAACCUAAAAGAAAAGAAGCAUCUUUUUGUCUUCUUCAACUCUCUGCAGCAUCCAUGCCAUGUUUUUGAGACGUUGGUCAUGUUCGAGUAUCAAGAAAUUGCAGAUCAAACCCUAGCACCAAAACACUUCAGAAGAAUUGAAGAAUCAAAAUAUGAAACAAGGAGGUGAUCGGUAGUUGGGAUAAACCGAGGGGCCAUCAAAAAUUCGUGCGCGUGGUCAUGGAUUUAUUAGAGUUAGCGAAGUUGGGAUUGGAACUUAAGGUAAUGAUGUGAAUUGUUAAGGUACACAUGAUGGAAAGGAUUGUUAGUGUGAUACAAUCCCCGAUGAUGUGGAUUGUUAAUCUUUGUUUAAGCUACAACUUUGGAUGGAAAGGAACUUAAGGUAAUGAUGUGAAUUGUUGGACUUCUGUGAAGUAUUCUUCAGAAUCAAUGUCUAAGUGUGUGUUUGGUUGCAAUCUAAUUCUAUCAUCAUCUAUUAAAGUAAAUGUUCAUUUCAAAGACCUGGAAAACAAACGAGGAAACAUGAUGAAGUUUUGGAAGAUGACAAAAUGGUGCAAACUCUUGGGAAUUAUGCGAUGGUUCAUGAUAACAUGUUCAAAGCGAUCAGAGACCUUUGUGUCUUCAAAAUGAUUAGAAGCAUAAUGAGCAUGUCCAUAAAUGCGAGUUCCAAUUCAAAGAGUUUUGGGAGAGCAAGUUGGCUUAUUGGUACAUUUGUUGAAGCUAUUGAGGGCUUGGAGAUGGGGAGAUGAUACUUAAUUUAGGUCGGCAAACAAGAAAAAUUAUUACAUGACUGUUAUCGAUUUCAGUCAUGCUCUAGCUAACGAUCCUUGACGGCCCUAACCUCCUCCCCCGGGACAGUAAAGUCUUGACCUUUUGUUAGCUCUACCUGCAAAAGAUACCCGAGGCAACCUCGGCAUCUACCUUUGACGCAGAAUAAGCGCCAUGAAGACUCACAUCUUUGUUUCUUUUAGGAUUCAAACAAGUAAAACAAUACCUACCAGUAAUUGUCGUCGCUUACUUACAUUCCAUCUCUGCUUUCUUUUAGUAUGCACCCAUUUCUGCAUUUGUGUUUUCCUUACUGCAUUUCAUUUCGAUGUGUUUCCCUUUUUGCAUUUUUAGUACAAAUAUUUUAUCACUAUCCAGGCACACAGUGGCAUUGUUGGAUCUGAUUUAUACCCUAAGUUAAAUUAUUGGAAAUCCAUCAUGUAACCAUGGUGAUAUGAUUAUCUAAUUUAUGUUCCUUUAA